rnacentral:rRNA from 1 species
GUGAUCGAGCGACGCCGCGUGAAAGGAAGCCACGGCUAACUUCGUGCCAGCAGCCGCGGUAAGACGAAGGUGGCUAGCGUUGCUCGGAAUUACUGGGCAUAAAGCGCGCGUAGGUGGUCCUGUAAGCGGGGGAUGAAAGCCCAUGGCUCACCCAUGGAACUGUCCCUCGGACUGCAGGGCUGGAGGGCGGGAGGGGAGAAUGGAAUUCCCGGUGUAGCGGUGAAAUGCGUAGAUAUCGGGAGGAACGCCGGUGGCGAAAGCGAUUCUCUGGUCCGCUCCUGACACUGAGGCGCGAGAGCUAGGGGAGCAAACAGGAUUAGAUACCCUGGUAGUCCUAGCUGUAAACGAU